rnacentral:lncRNA from 1 species
UGGUCUUGUGUGCAUCUGUUGUUUGCCCGUAAGCCACCUCCUUUUCAUCUGCGUCGUAAGCAUAGGCUCGUAUGAAGUACGUGGCAGUGGGCACGUCACGCUCAACAGUCCACUCGGACUGGGCGGUGCUGUUGGCAGGGCUGUAAGGUCUAGCAACGAUAUCGUUCUGGCAAGUCCUGUCCUUUUUUAGAUCGUCUACAGUUUUUCUCCACCCACGGUCAACUUGGCUUAUGGGAGCGUAGCACAGCUUGACCUUGAUGGUCUUGUAGGUCGAGUCCGUACCAGCUGCGAGGGUCUGGUUCAGCCCCCAUGUCACGGUGAUUUUGUCCACACCUCCUUUCAAUACUGCAAAGUUAAUUAAUAAUUAGUUCUGUACUGUGCCAUUAAAUCUGGAUGGAGCACUGGAUGCAUGGUGAGAUCAAGGAGGGAAAACAACCUUAAAUCUGAAAGUAGAACUGAGAAGUUGAAAAUCAAGAACAGACAAGAAGGAAAACGAUGUCAUGUGGAUCGUGUUACCUUGUCCGGAUGUUGGUGAGGCCGUGACUGCAAGAGUUCUUUGCAGAGAAGAGAAGAGCACAGUUCCAUAGCAAGGCAAAAGAAAGCAGGAGAGAACAAGUGAGGCCAAGAGAAGAGCACGUGCUGCCAUUGCUAGAUACUUUUCUUUUCUUGCACUAUAUAGGUAACACUUUUGAAGUAAAUCACCAAAAGCUAGGAAAGGUAGAAGAAGAGGCUAUGAUCCCACUGUAUAUAACCAAUACUAAUGAUGAUUUGAUGGAGUGCGCAGACUGUCUGGGUUGACCUUAUAUAAUACAAGGCCGAACGAGCUGCCACAGGAGACUAUAUGACCCUUAAACGUGAGGAAAGGGUGGGGUGAAAGCGGGUUUCGCUUAAUCAAGAAAAGGAGGUUUGACUUUGUUGUGGCUAUUAGUAUUUUACAAACGUGGAAAUUCUUGGUGGAUGAUAUUGAUGAGAAGACAUGGAUGGUAUCCGUUUCAAGUACAUUUUCGUUCUUUGAUUAUUAUUAUUUUUUUAUUUGGAGUUUUUUUAUGCUUUGGCUCGUCCCCUGGAAUCUCGAAAAGAUUAAACAAGCAAGGAAGCUAGGAAUUGUGAAGGGAGUUGCUGACCUAGCUAGACAAUCGAAGGAAAAGCCAAAUCGAAUGGAAUGGAAGAGGCGGAAGGUGUAAGAUCGUUUAUGAAAAUUAAUUCCAAAUCAUCCCACUCAAAACCAGUUAGCUGUCAAUCAAGCCAGAUUUUCUCUAAUCGCAAUAUACAUCCAUCCGAAUUAUCCGUCCUUAAUCGGAUUCGUAUAAAAGAAUUCUGGAAAUUUUCAAGUAAACCCUCUCAAAAUAAACAAUUUUCCAUAAAAAUAUUGUCAAUGACUAAGCCACAUGUUUGAGAAACAAAAAGCACCAAAGAAAACUAGCCUAGUUGGCCUCGCUAAUUACAUUCAAUUAUUCAUCUAAUUAAGAAUUUGUUUUUGUAUUUUAAAAAUACUUUUUAAAAAUUUAAAUUUUUUAUUUUCUUCUUUACUUCAAAUUAAUUUUUUUAUAUUGAUAUAAAAAGUUAUUGUUCAUCUCAUUCAAUAAUUUUUUAAAUUAUUACGAUAUAUUUUUAAAUAAAAAAUAUUUUAAAAAACAAUUAUUAUAUACCACAGUACCACAAACACUCUAUUUAAAAGAUAUGUGAUAAUUAUAAUACAAAGGGAGCAUUGAUUAGUGUUGUAAAAACAACUCAAGAAUCUCAAACUAAUUAGCAAGUAUAUAUAAACACAAUUAAUCAUUAAAGAACAUAUAUAGAAUGUUAGGGUUUCAUUUUUGGUUCGAUAACAGCUUUAUGGUAUAGAUUCCUGCUUUCAAGAAAGUCCCAAGUAAACAAUGCAUUUCCCCCCAGGAUUCCUAUUAAAGAUAUUUACGUUGUUCGACAAUUUAGGCCUACUUUAUAGGCAACAUUAUCAAGAAAAUUAACUAUGAGAAAAUAGAAGAUCACAAUGUGUCAUGUAAAUUAUUCUCUCACCAAAAAUAAAAAAAUAACUCAAAGCUAGCAUUUUCUCUCCUCUCUAACAACCAAAGUGUAGAGAAUGAAGGUACUUACAAAUAAAUCUCUACCUUAAAAUAUGAUAAUUGUAGUCUUUGAUGUAUAGACUUAAUACAUGUGUAUUUCUUUUCUCACUUGGAUCUAUAAUUUAAAACAAAUCCAAUAAAUCUUCACCUUGACUUAAAUUGAGCCAACUUACGAAUCUUGAACUCCUCUCUGAUCGCCUCCACCAAACAUAUUUCAAGUAUUACACAAAUCAAUCAAAUCCAAGCAAUGCUUGAACUUGACUAUUGAGAUAGAUAUCGUCAACAUAUCUGCAGAGUUUUUAGUUGUAGCAAUCUUCUUUCAUUGAUACAACACCUUGUAACAUGAUAUUUAGAAUGAAGUGAUACCUAAUAGUCAACUCACUAUGGUCCUUUCAUGGUAAAUCUAGUUCUUAGCUAAAUGAAUAUCACUCUAACUAUCAUAAUGUAUAACAAUCAACUCAUGUGAAAAAUCAAGAUUGUCAACCAAAACUCUUAACCAUAAAGCUUAUUUUAUUGUCUUUGUCAAUACCAUAUACCCAACCUCUGUUAUAGACAAGGUAAUAAUAGAUUGUAAAACUAUUUUCCAACUAAUGGCACACCCCAAGAGAGUAAAAUAUAACUCGUCAACAAUCACAUCCUAUCUAAACCAUCAAUUUAAUCUAAAUCUACGAAGUCACCAAUAUUAUUUAUGGAGUUACUACCCCCUAUCAUAUACCAAGUCAUCUGUAAUACCUGUAAGAUAACAUAGUAUCAAUUUCACCGCCUGUUAAUGAACUAUACCAGGAUUUCCUAUAAACUUGUUGACCAUACUAACAACAUGUGAAAUGUCUAAAUGAGUGCAUACCAUAACAUAUAUAAUGCUUUUAAAUAUACAAGCAUAUUAAACACUUGACAUGUGCUCUUUUUUUUCUCUUCAGUUUCUUGUGACAAACCCGAAUAUGAUAUGAAAUAGGCUACAAAUAGAGUAUCCACUGGCUUGUAGUCUUACACACCAAAAAGCUCAAGUACAUUCUUAAGAUACUUCCUUUAUGACAUGUAUAAAUUUUCUAUGCUUAGAUCUUGAUGUAUUUCUAUACCCAAGAUUUUCUUAGCUGCAUCCAAAUCUUUCAUCUCAAAUUCACUAUUUAAUUGAUCCUUCAAAUUGUUGAUCUCAGACAUAUUUUUAAAGACAAUCAAUAUGUCAUAAACAUACAACAAUAAGUACAUAAAUGAACCAUUUAAGAGCUUAAUGAAAUGCACAUAACUAACAUAGUCACUCCUAAAAUAACCAUGUUCAAGAAUAAAAGUAUCAAAUAUUUUUAUAUCAUUACCUCAACGACUAUUUCAAGUCAUAUAAUGACAUCUUCAAUAAGCACGCAUGGUUUUUUUUUUUUUUUUUAUCAUCUUGAGAAAUGAAGCCUUCAGGCUAAUGCAUAUAAAUCCUCUCCUUUAACUCACGAUGUAGAAAAAUUAUUUUAACAUCCAACUGCCCAAGGUCUAAGUUAAACAAAGCUAUCAUAGCGAGCAAUACUCACAUAGAACUAUGCUUCAUAACCGGAGAGAAUACUUCAUUUAAGUCAACACCUUUUCUUUGUGUAAAUCUCCUAGCAACUAGACGUGUUUUAAACAUUACAUCCUUAACCCCUGUGAUUCUAUCUGUUCUCUUGCAAGCUAACUUGCACUCAAUAAUCUUCUAGCCUUUAGGGGUUUAACAAGCUUUCAUGUCUGGUUUUUAUAAAAAGACUUAAUCUUCUUAUUCAUUGCAAGUGUUAUAACUUAAUUUUGACCUCCUGUUAUUCUAAAUAUUUUCAAAAUAUAAAGAAAGAAAAAAAAUAAAAAUAUGUUCAUGUUGUAUUUGCUUUAUUUUUAGUAUUUCCAACGUCAUUUUAAAAGAAUACAAAUUUCUUUUUAAUAUAUUCAACUUUUCACAUGUUAUUUUUAAAAUUGUUGAUUUUUAUUAUCGAGUCAAUGUUGUCUUUUACAAGCCUUAAAAAAAAUAAAAAAUAUUUGGACAAAAAGACCAAAAUACAAAGGAAGAAAAUGAGGGGCUAAGCAAUUAAGGAAGAAGAUAUAAUUUUUCAUCUAUAAAUAGAUGGUAAUCUUACACAAAAAAAGAGAGCCAAGAAUAUAAACUUUAAAGAACAUAAAAAAAUAACAACAAAUUCCUUCCCCCAUUCACAAAAAAAACCCUAAAUCUAUUUUGUUACUCCUUAACCACUAGCAACCUCCAGCAGCAACCUCUUCUUCUUCCAGCAGCAAUGCUAGCCUUCUCUCAAGAACAACCCCAAUAGCAAGCAACCUUUUCUUGAUUGUGACCAGCCCUGCACUUCCCACUAUCCAACAACGCCAGCCCUGCACAUCCACAUUGACCAGCAUCAACCUUCCAUUUCUAGCACCAUCAACAGCUCCUCCAUAUCUCAACACUCAACUAAUGAUGCUCCGUCGCCAACCCUAUAUCAGGCAUCCAUUAGCAGCCCCCUAACUCCAGCCAGCAGCAACAACUCUUCUCUUUAGCCACGCUAACCUUCCAUGCUGUAAGUAGGGGUUUAUUUUCUCAACCAUGCCAAUCUCCAGCACCACCAGCAAUGACCACCCCUUGCGUCAAUAACACCUUUGAACCGCAGCAGACCAAUUAUGUUGCCAACAAGGAGAACCAUCAUCUACAACCUCUUCUUAUCAUAUAUAGGGUGCACCGAGGGUGAUAUAUCUUUUCUCUGCAUAAUCAAUUUCUGUACCCAAACUCUCGUAGACCAUUAGAUUUUCUAGUGGCCAUGAUAUUAGAUGGUAACUUUUUUUUUUAUUGAUAAAGAACAAGAAUUUCUUGCAUUUUCCACCCCAAUCUAUCCCAAUAACCCCGAUCCGAAAAAAUGAUUACCACGACACCGUCUAUGUGCUACAGCAAGCAUCCACUAAAAUGACUUCUAUAGUUUAUUAUAUUUUCUCGAUUAAAAAACUUAUACAAAUAGUAUAUUUAAAAGCAUAUAUAGUUAAAUUUUAAAGAGGAAAAAAAUUGAGAUAAUUAUUCAUCUUCUCACAAUAAUAAAAAUUAUCAUGAUAAUUUAAUUUUAUGAACUCUAAACUAAUUUACAAUUGCACAUCAAAUAUAAAUAACAUGAUGUCCGUGUAUAUGUCUAUACAAAUAGUUUUGGAGAGUCGGUUCUAUAAAUUUAAGAGUGUGGUUUUAGUCAAUUGAUGCAAUUGAUUUUUUUAAGUCAAAUGCUUUUUUAAAAAAGUUUUUUCUUUAUAUGUGAAGAAAAAAAGAUUGAUACAAAUCAUCUCAAUUUUUUUACUCGUUGCUUUAUAAAUUGUAUUCUUAACAUUGAAAUUUAAUAUUUGCCCUUUACUUCUCUCCAUUUUAGUCUUUCUUUUCAAUUCAAUGUCUAAACUUCUGUCUUUAAAUGUUAUUUAUACGUUUUGAAUUAUUUGUUUUCUUAAUUAAACUUGCAUAAAAAUUAAAAAUGAUUGCUUUUAUUUCGAGUAACAUAAUUUACUAGUAUAAUUAUCAUGAUUGUUAUUAGUAUGGAAAUAAGUAAAGAAAUUUUAUAAUUAAUAUAUUUUUAAUAUGAUAAAUUAAAAUCUUUUAUCAGAUUUUUGCAUCUUCUUUUUAAACUAUCAAUUAAAAAAAAGAAUAAAUUUCAUCAAAACCCUUUUCCAACUCUAUUUGGUAAGUGUGCAAAUUUUCAAGGAUUAUGUUUGGUGCAACUAAUACUAUUUUUUCUAUUACAACCCAUCUGAUGAAAAUCAUAUGAUAUAUGUUAAUGUUUGAGAAAAAUAAUUAGGCCUUUAAUUGUAACAAUUGUUAAGAAAAGCUCGUUAAACUAAAAAAACUUGCAAGUGAUUGGUGUUGGAAAAAAUUGUUUGAAACAUGAUAUAUUAAUGGGUAUAUUUAGAGUCAAAUUAAAAGUGGGUGCCCGUACUCACUUUUAAAAAUAAAAUUUUGUUAAAUUUUAUUAUUUAAUAUAAAUUUUUUAACAUAAAAUAUUGACAUAAUUAAAAUAAGUUAUAGAUAAAUAAAAAAUUGAUAUAAAAAAAACUCCUAAUUAACAUGUUUUAGAGAAAACCAAAACCCUCUAAAACUCUAUCCAACACAGGAAAAGAAACAAGAUUUUUUUGUUGUUUAUAUAGUAAAAAAGUAAAAGGUUAAAAUUGAAUCCGUAUGACACCCAAGUUUUUAUAGGAAAAUAACCUAAGUAAAGCACGUUUUAAACUUAAGAUACGCACGCAAGCAUGCACAUGACUUGGCUCAACUUGGGUAUAAAUUAUUUGUUUGAACUAUAAAUAGAUUAUUUUUUGCUAACAUAUUUUUCUAUGCUUGGGUUUGAAUUUAUAUAAAAAAAUUUGUCCAUGAAAAAUUAUUUUUUAUAAGUCCAUUAAUAUGUCCGACUAAUAAACGAAGUCUGGAUUAUAAGUCCAUUAAUAUGUCCGACUAAUAGUGAAAACAAUCCUAAUAAUUUUAAAUGAGUCUUCCAUCCAUUUAUUUCAUUAAUUUGCAAUUAGCAUUUAUUUGUGUUGAGAAGGGCAUGGCAUGGAUAGUCAUCAUUGUUUCAAUCAAAGAUUUUCACUGAGACCCAUUGCAAAAGUCAACAUUUCCCCAAGGACAUCAGAAUACAGAAGGCUUAAGAAAGUAAACAUGAAACCCACAACUAUAAUACUCCAUGGACCCGUAGUGUGAUACUGUGAUAUGAUAUCUUUUGCCAUGCUCGCUUCACUGAGACCUCUUUGCCUUUCUCUUCUCAUUGUAGAAGAAACCAAACAAGGACACAACAGAGAAAACACUGAAGCAUACUGAGCAAAUAUCCAUUGUGGCGUGGCGUCCACUGAUUGCUUGGACUUGAAACAGAUUGGUGGUCUUGUGUGCAUCUGUUGUUUGCCCGUAAGCCACCUCCUUUUCAUCUGCGUCGUAAGCAUAGGCUCGUAUGAAGUACGUGGCAGUGGGCACGUCACGCUCAACAGUCCACUCGGACUGGGCGGUGCUGUUGGCAGGGCUGUAAGGUCUAGCAACGAUAUCAUUCUGGCAAGUCCUGUCCUUUUUUAGAUCGUCUACAGUUUUUCUCCACCCACGGUCAACCUGGCUUAUGGGAGCGUAGCAUAGCUUGACCUUGAUGGUCUUGUAGGUCGAGUCCGUCCCAGCUGCGAGGGUCUGGUUCAGCCCCCAUGUCACGGUGAUUUUGUCCACACCACCUUUCAAUACU